rnacentral:lncRNA from 1 species
UUGGUCUUCUUUACACCCUGUUUUAAUCAUACAUAGAGUAGACAUAAACUUUCAUGUACUGAGCCAGAUAUCUAUUUACAUUAUAUAUAAAAAUAAAAAAAUAAAAAUAAAAAUCGUUGCACAAAACUCAAGCUUGCCAUAACAGAGAGAUAUAGCACAUAUUUACGCAACAUGGCCUUAUAUAACAUUUUCCGAGCUCUGUCCGAGUAUCCAUGCGUUGUUCGAAUAGUUCUGCCACAAAACCAUCUUAUCAGAUAUAAGUUAUAACCAUAUAUUUUGCGAUAAACUUCGUUUCUCAUGCUUGUGCAUGCCAUACAAAACUUGACAUUGCCAAAGAAAAGUUAGCUUGAGCUCGAGUUUUUAUUUAUGGAAAAUAUUUCACUAAUUUUUCGGUCGCUAUAUUCCGUCAUUAUUUGCUACAUUCCCAAAGACGAGUACCCUAUGUUUAGUAUAGUUCAAAAUCCAAAGCAUAACAGAAAUGCGAGAUAAUCAUUAAUCCCAAUUCAAGAGGGAGGCGGAAAACGAAAACCGGGAUUAAAUUUGAUUUAACUAACCGGUUUUGAACAUCCGAUUUUAGUGAUGAAGUCCUGAGAAAAGCAACUCCAACUCCUCUUCUUGUGAUGUUGUCCUCUUUCGACCAAAAAAAGAAAACAAAAAAAAAACGAAAAGAUCAGAGAUUACUCCAUAGCUCAAUUAUAUGCAAUAUGCAAAUAAGCAGAAGCUUAUACGUAUAGGUUCAUAGUCGUUUUUUUUAACAACGAUAAACCGUUUUAUAUAUCCAAAAUCAAGACUACAUCAAAGUUUAACUACCAAUCUAAAAUAAAUGAGGGACAGUACUAUAGAACGUGCUUAUAUAGUUCAUAGUGUACUAUUUUCUUGGGCAAAUUACGGCCACCUCUAAGGUAAGGUCAAAUUACGAGAAAACCCCUCAUGUUUGGAUAAUUACAAAACAACGUCAUCAACUAUCUAUUGUCUUACGAAAAACCCCUCGGUAAAUUUGACACCGUCGGGGUUGACGUGUAAGACAAUUAAACAACGAGCAAAUUUUUAAACAACGAGAAACCAUUUUAUAGAUCCAAAAUCAAGACUACAUCAAAUUUUAAUUACCAAUCUAAACAAGAUAAUUAAACACUAAACAUCAAACUAACUACAAUAAAUGAGGGAAGGUACUAUAGAAGGUGCUUAUAUAGUUCAUAGUGUAAUAUUUUCUUUGGCAAAUUACGGCCACCCCUGAGGUAAGGUCAAAUUACGAAAAAUCCCCUCAAGUUUAGGUAAUUACAAAACAACCCCUCAACGAUCCAUUGUCUUACCAUAAAACCCCUCCUAGGUAAAUGUAAGACAAUACAUAGUCGAGGAGGAUGAUUGUAACUUGUAAUUAUCCAAACAAGAGGGGUAUUUUUGUAAUUUAAUCUUACUUCAGGGGUGGCCGUAAUUUGCCCGAGAUUUUCUUGCGUAAAAGGUAGUAGAAACCGGUUAAAUGCAACCAAUUCAAUCCUGAAUAGUAUCUAUACAGAUUAAUCAGUAAUUUAUUUCUGCAAAUUGCAAACACCAGAUAACUUAAUUCUGCUAAUGAUUUCAUUAAAUUCUAUUAACAGUUCAAAUCUCAUCAAAAAAUUCGCACGUGCGUACCUUGAGCGAAAGGAGCUGUAUGAUUUUGUUGAAGACCUGUAAAAGUCGAGCGGCGUAACCGCCGCUCGGCGGCGGCGGAGGGCGGCUCAUACUUUCCAUUUUCUCAUGAACCACCGCCGCCGCCGCCGCCUCUUCUUCAUUCCCUAAUUGCUUCCAUUUCCACCCAAUUUUAGCGGUCUCCGACCCGGACCCGGACCCGUAACUAUGUGGACCCAUUUUUUCUGCACUUCACCAAUCCAGCCCAUUUCCGGACAAUUUUUUUUCAUUUAAUUGAAAAAAUUCACCACAAUAAUUUGAUAAUAACAAAUUACGCGAACGAAUUUUCAUCGUAAAGCACAAAAAGCCAUGAAUUUACAGUCGACGUACAGUUGUGCAAAGCGAGCUUUUUCCUUCGAGCUUUUGCCGCUUCCGCUUUACAGAAGGUUCCACCGAAUAGUUUUUCC